rnacentral:rRNA from 1 species
UACGUAGGGUGCAAGCGUUAAUCGGAAUUACUGGGCGUAAAGCGUGCGCAGGCGGUUCGACAAGUCCGAUGUGAAAGCCCCGGGCUCAACCUGGGAAUGGCAUUGGAAACUGGCGAGCUUGAGUGUGGCAGAGGGGGGUGGAAUUCCGCGUGUAGCAGUGAAAUGCGUAGAGAUGCGGAGGAACACCGAUGGCGAAGGCAGCCCCCUGGGCUGACACUGACGCUCAGGCACGAAAGCGUGGGGAGCAAACAGG